GCAUCAGCCACUCUCCAGCCAAAAAAAGAACUGGGGAAGGAGCACCUUAUUGCAAAGGAAAGCCAACCAGGAAGAGGAGGAGGAGAUCGGACGCAGGAGGCUAGCAAAGAGUGAACCAAGCUUCAAGAGCUAAGCAUCUAAGACACCAUAAAGGACACGAACCAGUCGCAAAAUCAUGGAGAACCAAGUAGAAGUUCAAGAGGGAAUGGAAGCCGAUAUCCGACAGCUGAAGGAACAAAUGAGACAAGUCCUAAAGACCCUGGAUGCCUUACAAGGUCCUUGAUGUUUAUGCACGCAACGAUCACAACAAGGAGUUCUAGAAGCACACACUUUCCCUUCCUAUGGUCUUCCCCCGAAUUAUACUCCACCCUCAGGAGUGGACUCGAGACAUCUUGACACUCAAAAGGCCGAAGGUAAUGCAGUUGAAGUAUAAGACGAGCCUGGGGCAACCACUUUCACAAUUCCUGGGCAGACUAUCCAACCAGGUUUUAAGGUGAAUUUGGUGAAGGAAGUGAAGAAUGAGAGAGAGGACAUUAG